GUUUGUAUUUUUAAAAGGUAUAUAUUUUAGAUUUUUUUCCAAAACAAUUCAAACAACUUGCAAAGAGACUGUCUUAAGUAAAUCUCCAUACACCAUGGGCCCUUCAGAGCACACUGUCAAUGCAGCUAAGCAGUAGAAGCCCCAAAACAGAUAAGGUAGCAUAGAGGGUAAGAUUGGGACAGUGACAUAUAUGGGCAAUGAGAUUCCCUUCAAAGGAGUAGCACAGUUGCCCAAAGUUAGAGAGCUUUUGUUUUAAUUAUAAAUAUUAUCAGUUCUAAAUCAAUUAAAAUUAUGAUAAGAUAGAGAACUAUUUUCAGUGUACAAAAUUAAGAGCAUCCAGGAGAGAGACAAAUGGAAAGUAAUUCAGAAACAACUCUCUGAAUUUGUUUUCUUUUUUUUUUUUUAAAUUUUUUAUUUAUUCAUGAUAAUCACAGAGAGAGAGACAGAGGCAGAGACACAGGCAGAGGGAGAAGCAGGCUCCAUGCACUGGGAGCCCAACGUGGGAUUCGAUCCCGGGUCUCCAGGAUCGCGCCCUGGGUCAAAGGCAGGCGCCAAACCGCUGCACCACCCAGGGAUCCCUGAAUUUGUUUUCAAGUGUUCUUAUGAGAGAAGUUUAAGAUCUGAACUUCAAUAUUUAGAUAAAAAAUGAAACCUGAAAAUUCAACCAACCUUGCCAAAGGUAAUGUUCUUUCUUAUCCUUUUCUUUUUCUAAAGUUGUAAUUUCUUUCUGUUGGUUCAAAAAUUCUAUAUUCUCACAAAAACUCUAUUAUGAUAGAUUAUUAUCACUAUUAUGAUAUAUGCACACAGUGUACUUUUAAAAUUCAUUUCAACUUAGAAAAUGAAAGGAUAACAAUGAGGACUUAUUAUUCACAUUGGAGACCACUUCACAAAAGGAUAAAGGAUUCAUCAUAGGUUUCCAUUAAACAUAGUGCUUCUUUCAUGAAGUUAUAUUAUUCAAUUUACAAAAUUGAAUUUUCAUGAAUGUGAAAAUUACCCAAAGUGCAAUAAACCAUAAUCUUUGGAAAUCA
rnacentral:lncRNA from 12 species